rnacentral:misc_RNA from 1 species
GAUGAAGAACUUAGCGAAAUGCGAUACUUGGUGUGAAUUGCAGAAUCCCGUGAACCAUCGAGUCUUUGAACGCAAGUUGCGCCCGAAGCCUCGGCUAAGGGCACGUCUGCCUGGGCGUCACGCAUCGCGUCUCCCCCAAACCGCCAAGGCGGAGGGGAAGGAAGAUGGCUUCCCGUGCCUCACCCGGCGCGGUUGGCCUAAAUUUGGAGCCCGCGGCACUUAGCUCACGCGGCGAUAGGUGGUGAACAAGGCCUUGGCCGUGCAAACAACCCGCUGCGAAGCUCUAUGUCACGUGCGCUCGUCGGACCCUUUGAAGUUGCCUUCGGUGACUUAAAACCUUUGCGACCCCAGGUCAGGCGGGGCUACCCGCUGAGUUUAAGCAUAUCAAUAAGCGGAGGA